rnacentral:rRNA from 1 species
AGUGAACGCUGGCGGUAGGCCUAACACAUGCAAGUCGAACGGCAGCACAGUAAAAGCUUGCUCUUACGGGUGGCGAGUGGCGGACGGGUGAGGAAUACAUCGGAAUCUACUUUUUCGUGGGGGAUAACGUAGGGAAACUUACGCUAAUACCUCAUACGACCUACGGGUGAAAGCAGGGGAUCUUCGGACCUUGCGCGAUUGAAUGAGCCGAUGUCGGAUUAGCUAGUUGGCGGGGUAAAGGCCCACCAAGGCGACGAUCCGUAGCUGGUCUGAGAGGAUGAUCAGCCACACUGGAACUGAGACACGGUCCAGACUCCUACGGGAGGCAGCAGUGGGGAAUAUUGGACAAUGGGCGCAGGCCUGAUCCAGCCAUACCGCGUGGGGGAAGAAGGCCUUCGGGUUGUAAAGCCCUUUUGUUGGGAAAGAAAAGCAGCAGGUUAAUACCCCGCUGUUCUGACGGUACCCAAAGAAUAAGCACCGGCUAACUUCGUG